rnacentral:rRNA from 1 species
AGCGAACGCUGGCGGCAGGCUUAACACAUGCAAGUCGAGCGGGCAUCCUUGUGGUGUCAGCGGCAGACGGGUGAGUAACGCGUGGGAACGUGCCCUUCGGUUCGGAAUAACUCAGGGAAACUUGAGCUAAUACCGGAUACGUGCGAGAGCAGAAAGGUUUAUCUGCCGAAGGAUCGGCCCGCGUCUGAUUAGCUAGUUGGUGAGGUUACGGCUCACCAAGGCGACGAUCAGUAGCUGGUCUGAGAGGAUGAUCAGCCACACUGGGACUGAGACACGGCCCAGACUCCUACGGGAGGCAGCAGUGGGGAAUAUUGGACAAUGGGGGCAACCCUGAUCCAGCCAUGCCGCGUGAGUGAUGACGGCCUUAGGGUUGUAAAGCUCUUUUCUCCGGGACGAUAAUGACGGUACCAGAGGAAUAAGCCCCGGCUAACUUCGUG